rnacentral:rRNA from 1 species
AUUGAACGCUGGCGGCAUGCUUUACACAUGCAAGUCGAACGGUAACAGGCCGCAAGGUGCUGACGAGUGGCGAACGGGUGAGUAAUGCAUCGGAACGUGCCCAGUCGUGGGGGUAAAUAACCGAAAAGGUAAGUUAUAACCCCAACGGACCUAUGGAGGAAAGGGGGGGACGGAAAGGCCCGGGGGGUUGGGGGCGGCCGAUGUCAGAUUAGGUAGUUGGUGGGGUAAAGGCUCACCAAGCCAACGAUCUGUAGCUGGUCUGAGAGGACGACCAGCCACACUGGGACUGAGACACGGCCCAGACUCCUACGGGAGGCAGCAGUGGGGAAUUUUGGACAAUGGGCGCAAGCCUGAUCCAGCAAUGCCGCGUGCAGGAAGAAGGCCUUCGGGUUGUAAACUGCUUUUGUACGGAACGAAACGGCUCUGGUUAAUACCCGGGGCUAAUGACGGUACCGUAAGAAUAAGCACCGGCUAACUACGU